rnacentral:rRNA from 1 species
UACGUAGGGGGCAAGCGUUGUCCGGAUUUAUUGGGCGUAAAGAGCGUGUAGGCGGCCAUACAGGUCAGCUGUGAAAACUCGAGGCUCAACCUCGAGACGUCGGUUGAAACCGUAUGGCUAGAGUCCGGAAGAGGAGAGUGGAAUUCCCGGUGUAGCGGUGAAAUGCGCAGAUAUCAGGAAGAACACCCGUGGCUAAGGCGGCUCUCUAGUACGGUACUGACGCUGAGACGCGAAAGCGUGGGGAGCGAACAGG